rnacentral:rRNA from 1 species
AUGAACGCUGGCGGCGUGCCUAAUACAUGCAAGUCGCGCGAACAGACGAGGAGCUUGCUCCUCUGACGUUAGCGGCGGACGGGUGAGUAACACGUGGAUAACCUACCUAUAAGACUGGGAUAACUUCGGGAAACCGGAGCUAAUACCGGAUAAUAUAUUGAACCGCAUGGUUCAAUAGUGAAAGACGGUUUUGCUGUCACUUAUAGAUGGAUCCGCGCCGCAUUAGCUAGUUGGUAAGGUAACGGCUUACCAAGGCAACGAUGCGUAGCCGACCUGAGAGGGUGAUCGGCCACACUGGAACUGAGACACGGUCCAGACUCCUACGGGAGGCAGCAGUAGGGAAUCUUCCGCAAUGGGCGAAAGCCUGACGGAGCAACGCCGCGUGAGUGAUGAAGGUCUUCGGAUCGUAAAACUCUGUUAUUAGGGAAGAACAAAUGUGUAAGUAACUAUGCACGUCUUGACGGUACCUAAUCAGAAAGCCACGGCUAACUACGU